rnacentral:tRNA from 1 species
GGUGAGGUGGCCGAGAGGCUGAAGGCGCUCCCCUGCUAAGGGAGUAUGCGGUCAAAAGCUGCAUCCGGGGUUCGAAUCUCCGCAUCACCGCCA